GGUUCCAUAGUGUAGUAGUUAUCAUUUCAUGCUUAACAUGCAGAAGGUUCUGGGUUCGAUUCCCAGUGGAACCU